rnacentral:rRNA from 1 species
AGUGAACGCUGGCGGUAGGCCUAACACAUGCAAGUCGAACGGCAGCACAGUAAGAGCUUGCUCUUACGGGUGGCGAGUGGCGGACGGGUGAGGAAUACAUCGGAAUCUACUUUUUCGUGGGGGAUAACGUAGGGAAACUUACGCUAAUACCGCAUACGACCUACGGGUGAAAGCAGGGGAUCUUCGGACCUUGCGCGAUUGAAUGAGCCGAUGUCGGAUUAGCUAGUUGGCGGGGUAAAGGCCCACCAAGGCGACGAUCCGUAGCUGGUCUGAGAGGAUGCAGCCCCACAGGGGGAGGGAGACCCGGUCCAGCCUCCCAGGGGAGGCACGGGGGGGGAAUUUGGGAAAAGGGGGGGAACCUUGCACCAGCGACCCCGGGUGGGGGAAGAAGCCCCUCGGGUGGUAAGGCCCUUUUGUGGGGAAAAAAAAGCCGCGGGUUAAACCCCCGGUGUGUUACGGGAACCCAAAAAAAAAGACCGGGUAACUUUGGG